GAAUCUGCACGAACCCGGGCUACACCAAUGAGUUUACCACACCAAUCUUAGUUGAUUAUUUAUUAACUAGCAAGCUAAAAUGAUGAUUAAAAAUACACAUACACAAAACACAGUCUAGGCUAUUGAUUAGGACUUAGUAUAACGGGCCAACACACUAUGGUGCGUGUUACCCAAAAUGGGGAUUUAAAAGAGAGAGAAACAAAGAAAGUACACGAGACAAAUAUAAAUUUGGGUUCAUUUGUCAGCUAUGCUUAUUUAAACCUAGCCUUUCCCCGAACUGCAGCUCUUAUGGGUCAGAAUAUAAUGAUGUAAUUACGUGUUGGAGAUCUCAGAUGGGCGUCCUGCGUGGCUCGUUUAGGCUUCUCAAGGGCGCCCUGCUCCGACGCAACUCUCUGAUUGUCCUCACGAUGUCAGUGUCCUUCUUGGCUUGAUGGUCUGAUUUCUUCCCUUUUCUCUGUGGUGUCGUCUGAGGACAGACAGCUCUGUAGCUCAGAGCUCACAGCGUAUGAAUGAAAUAGCCUAGAUACCACGAUUCGAUGAAGAGUGGAGGCUAGGUGGUUCGGCUUGAAUUCACCCGCUUAGACACAGCUACUCAUCCGUAGCUCGUGUAGAAAAAGAUUUCUUUGUCUUCAAACUUUGUGUUGCGUUUUGGGGUUUGUUGACCAUUUAGACCUUCGCUGCAGCUUGGGGUCUCUUUUAGUCUAAUGUUAAUUCUCCAGUCUUCUGUCUUAUACCCUCGGGUCAGAAGUGGGUGUAACCGCCUUUAGGGCAGUUCUCUGGGCGUACCAAGUUAAGGGACAAGGCCUAGAUUUUACUCAAAUCCAAUUUUAGACACUAACUUCACAUCACAUCUUUACCAAAACAUUCUCUUUGAUUUGGAUAUUUUCCACACAACGUACAAUGUUUUCAUAAUAACGUCAUCUGUUAACCUUUAAUAAUAAAACAAAAAUUACAUACAUUUGCAUAUUCCAUCUCUCCUCAUGACCACCAUUGUCGCUGACGGAAACCAUUGUUCCAAAGUCCCUUUAUUGCAUGUUUAAUGUUCUGAGGCCAGUUCUCCAUAGUGAGGACACAGGAAUUUCUCUGUGUCCUAGGAUUUAUCAUGGGCGUGAGGGGUCAUAAAACCCCCACAUCCUCAUACCCCUAGAUCUCUCCUCCUCUGUUGAGGGUUGAGAGAGACCAUGUAGGAUUGUGGUCUCCUGUAACCUGACCUGAUCAGGACAGUCAUGACACCACUAAACCUGGUAUAUCCCAGGUUUUAGUUCCUUUACUGGUAUGUCUCAGGUAAUUCUGUUACAGAAGAUGUUAUGAAUUAAGACCAGCUCACAUUGCUUUAUUUUGGGACUGGACUGGCACAUAUAAAAACAUAUUCAUGUACAAUCAUUGUAUGUAUCCCUUUUUAAACUCCAGACCUCCACACUGUAGUGAUGUGUUGAUGACUGAAUGCAUGUGUUGUCCAUGUACACACAUCUGAACACUAAUUGUGUUUCGGAACUUUUGUCUUAAGAAUGUUUGUUUUUUUCAAACUUGAUUGGUGAAAGCAGUACAGAGGAAGGUCCAUAUAGGGCUGGGUUGAGCCAUCACCAACAUACAUAUCUGUGAAUACUGAGCUGGGGAAAGGGACUAGUUGACACUAGACUUAGAUCAUUCUCGUUGCAUGCACUGCAUGACUUCUCAGCCACGUUCGCCAAACGGAUCACACCACAGGACUGACGAUUCCUAAAUCAAGUGUCAACUCCUUCUGAGACAUGUUGCUGUGCAAAACAAAUGCACUUGAAAGCGCAGUGUGUUAAAUAUAUUUUAUCUGCAAUGAUUGAAUUUCAGCCUGCAUAUGCAAACAAUCCUUUGUGAAUUUGAGGUGUUUAAUAUUUACAUUUUUUCAAUAAAGGAGUUGAGUUCUA
rnacentral:lncRNA from 1 species